UACAGAGGUCCCAAGCGUUGUUCGGAUUCACUGGGCGUAAAGGGUGCGUAGGCGGGUCUUUAAGUCAGGGGUGAAAUCCUGGAGCUCAACUCCAGAACUGCCUUUGAUACUGAAGGUCUUGAGUCCGGGAGAGGUGAGUGGAACUGCGAGUGUAGAGGUGAAAUUCGUAGAUAUUCGCAAGAACACCAGUGGCGAAGGCGGCUCACUGGCCCGGUACUGACGCUGAGGCACGAAAGCGUGGGGAGCAAACAGG
rnacentral:rRNA from 1 species